rnacentral:rRNA from 1 species
UACAGGAGGGUGCAAACGUUGCUCGGAAUCAUUGGGCGUAAAGCGCACGUAGGCGGCCCAGCAAGUGGGGAGUGAAAGCCCUCGGCUUAACCGAGGAAGUGCUUUCCAAACUACUGGGCUUGAAUACUGGAGAGGGUCGCGGAAUUCCCGGUGUAGAGGUGAAAUUCGUAGAUAUCGGGAGGAACACCUGUGGCGAAGGCGGCCCCCUGGUUGGAUACUGACGCUGAGACGCGAAAGCGUGGGGAGCAAACAGGG